UACCAGCACCCCGAGUGGUCGGGACGAUUAUUGGGCCUAAAGCAUCCGUAGCCGGCCUUACAAGUCCUCCGUUAAAUCCAGCUGCUUAACAGAUGGGCUGCGGAGGAUACUAUAAGACUAGGAGGCAGGAGAGGCAAGCGGUACUCAGUGGGUAGGGGUAAAAUCCGUUGAUCCAUUGAAGACCACCAGUGGCGAAGGCGGCUUGCCAGAAUGCGCUCGACGGUAAGGGAUGAAAGCUGGGGGAGCAAACCGG
rnacentral:rRNA from 1 species